AACGAACGCUGGCGGCAUGCCUAACACAUGCAAGUCGAACGAGACCUUCGGGUCUAGUGGCGCACGGGUGCGUAACGCGUGGGAAUCUGCCCUUGGGUUCGGAAUAACAGUUAGAAGUGACUGCUAAUACCGGAUGAUGACUUCGGUCCAAAGAUUUAUCGCCCAGGGAUGAGCCCGCGUAGGAUUAGCUUGUUGGUGAGGUAAAAGCUCACCAAGGCGACGAUCCUUAGCUGGUCUGAGAGGAUGAUCAGCCACACUGGGACUGAGACACGGCCCAGACUCCUACGGGAGGCAGCAGUGGGGAAUAUUGGACAAUGGGCGAAAGCCUGAUCCAGCAAUGCCGCGUGAGUGAUGAAGGCCUUAGGGUUGUAAAGCUCUUUUACCCGGGAUGAUAAUGACAGUACCGGGAGAAUAAGCCCCGGCUAACUCCGUGCCAGCAGCCGCAGUAACAC
rnacentral:rRNA from 1 species